rnacentral:tRNA from 1 species
GCCGUCGUGGUGUAACUGGAAACAUGUCUGGCUAGCAACCAGGAGGUCAAGAGUUCGAAUCUCAGCAAGGGCG